AGAAAUUCUGCUCGAGUGUGAUAAGGCCAAACUGAAACGUUCACCCCGAAAAAUUACUGGGUAUUAUAAACCUUUGAAGAGUCCAAUUGGUCAGUAACUUGCCGUAUUUAUAAAUUUCCCAUGCGUGUGUAUGUAAAAUAUCGAAUAUGACAUCUUGACAUUUUAUUCUUAUCACAACUGUCAAAAGAAAAACAUAUUUCAAAAGAGGUGUACUCAACAAUUGUGGAAGACUGAAAACCGAGAAAUCAUCAAGGAAAAUUCUUUUACCGUUCAAUAAGCUAAGUACCUUUUGAUAAUAUGAAUUUAAAGAUUUAUUCUAGCUAUGGUCAUCAAGGAAAAUUCUUGUAACGUUCAAUAUGCUUCGGCAUCUCUUAAUAAUAACUUGAAUUUUAAAGAUUUAUAAUAUAUUAUUAUAGCGAUGGUCAAUCGAAUUUUAGCAAGUGCAAUAUGGCCAAUGUUUUUUUAUUGUAUUUUGACAUGUAAGCAACACUGAUAUGUAUAUGCAACGUAAUGUUAAAAUCUUAUAUUCAUGAAAAUUUGCCUGUGAGAA